rnacentral:rRNA from 1 species
AGCGCAGGCGGUUUGAUAAGUCUGAAGUUAAAGGCUGUGGCUCAACCAUAGUUCGCUUUGGAAACUGUCAAACUUGAGUGCAGAAGGGGAGAGUGGAAUUCCAUGUGUAGCGGUGAAAUGCGUAGAUAUAUGGAGGAACACCGGUGGCGAAAGCGGCUCCCUGGUCUGUAACUGACGCUGAGGCUCGAAAGCGUGGGGAGCGAACA